rnacentral:rRNA from 1 species
GGAAGGUGGGGAUGACGUCAAAUCAUCAUGCCCCUUAUGACCUGGGCUACACACGUGCUACAAUGGAUAGUACAAAGGGUCGCGAAGCCGCGAGGUGGAGCUAAUCCCAUAAAACUAUUCUCAGUUCGGAUUGUAGGCUGCAACUCGCCUACAUGAAGCCGGAAUCGCUAGUAAUCGUGGAUCAGCAUGCCACGGUGAAUACGUUCCCGGGCCUUGUACACACCGCCCGUCACACCACGAGAGUUUGUAACACCCGAAGUCGGUAGGGUAACCUUUAUGGAGCCAGCCGCCGAAGGUGGGACAGAUAAUUGGGGUGAAGUCGUAACAAGGUAGCCGUAUCGGAAGGUGCGGCUGGAUCACCUCCUUUCUAAGGAA